rnacentral:rRNA from 1 species
UACGUAGGGUGCAAGCGUUGUCCGGAUUUAUUGGGCGUAAAGCGCACGCAGGCGGUCUGUUACGUUCCCAGUGACAGUGCUCAGCUUAACUGAGCAAGGUCUGGGAAACGGACAGACUUGAGGACUAGAGAGGGACAUAGAAUUCCGGGUGGAGUGGUGAAAUGCGUAGAUAUCCGGAGGAAUACCAAAGGCGAAGGCAGUGUCCGUGGCUAGUAACUGACGCUGAGGUGCGAAAGCUAGGGGAGCGAACGAG